AAAGCAGAGACCCCCCUCGUACCUUUUGCAUCAUGGUUUAGCUAGUCAAACCAAGCAGAAAGAAUUUUAGUUUGACCCCCCGAAACUAGGUGAGCUACUUCAAAACAGCCUAUCAAGGGCCAACCCGUCUCUGUUGCAAAAGAGUGGGAAGAUUUUCAAGUAGAGGUGACAGACCUACCGAACCUAGAGAUAGCUGGUUAUUUAGGAAAAGGAUUUAAGUCCUACCUUAAGUUCCCCUCUUCGUAGCAAAACUUCCGCGAACUUAAGAGCUAUUCAAACAAGGUACAGCCUGUUUGAAACAGGAAACAACCUCAAAAACAGGGUAACCACAAAUGACAUGUGUAUAAGUGGGCCUAAAAGCAGCCAACUUUCAAAAAGCGUUACAGCUUCCUCACCCGUCACUCUAAUACCAAAAACACCCAAUAACCCUUACUUAGUACUAAGUAACUCUAUACUUUUAUAGAAAUUAUUAUGCUAAAACUAGUAACAUGAAGAAGCCCUUCUCCCAAAUGCACCUGUAAGCCAAAAAGAACAAUUCAUUGGCAUUUAACGCUAUUGACCCUAAAGCAAUAACUACACAAGAAAAUUUUGCUAACACCAACGUUAACCUAACACAAGAGCAUUCCGGGAAAGAU
rnacentral:rRNA from 1 species